GCGGGCACCCAUGGGGAUGGACCCAGGAGUGGAGGAUGACCCAGUAUGAUGAAAGUUCAGCCCACUCACUGACACCAGUGACACAGUAUUGACCAGAUCUCCUGGAAGUGCCUCCUGACGCAGACCCAGUUGUUGGGUAGCCAGCCACCCAUGCACGUUGACACAGCCAGCACGGAGCACCCAGGGGGAUGGACCCAGGAGUGGAGGACGACCCAAUAGGAUGAAAAUUCAUCCCACUCACUGUUGACACCAAUGAGGGAACAAGAGAGGCUAGGCAACCCCAUCUUUUGACAACGGUCACCACCAGUCUAUUUCUAAAAAUGUUAUUAUUAUAUAUCUGUUAUAUAACAAUGUAUUUUUGUAUGGAUUAUAUGGGACAUUUAAAUGUUUUUUAAACAAAUGCUUAUUUAUCCUUUCUAUCUGUAAAUAAACUUGAACAUAUAAGUUUACUGAGUGAAUGACAACCAAACUGCAUGAAUUACAUAAUCACAAAAUUCCAUUAUUCCAAAAGCGCCUAUGAGUGUAUGGCUACUUUAUGACAGCAUUUAGAUAUUUGUGAAGAUUAUAUUGUACAUUUUAAUGGGAUUAUGUCCAAAGAAGUGCUUAUUAAUCUUUUAGUUUCUAAAUAACCCCAA